UUGCCUGUGGAUUCUGUUUGUUCCAG
rnacentral:piRNA from 1 species